GAUGAACGCUGGCGGCGUGCCUAACACAUGCAAGUCGAGCGAGAAGCUCAUGACAGAAUCUUCGGAGGACGGAUUGAGUGGAAAGCGGCGGACGGUGAGUAACGCGUGGGUAACCUGCCCUGUACAGAGGAAUAGCCAUUGGAAACGAUGAUUAAUGCCUCAUAAGACUACAGUAUCGCAUGAUACAGUAGCCAAAACUCCGGUGGUACAGGAUGGACCCGCGUUAGAUUAGCUAGUUGGUAAGUAAAGGCUUACCAAAGGCGACGAUCUAUAGCCGACCUGAGAGGGUGAUCGG
rnacentral:rRNA from 1 species